ACAGAGCCAGGAAAAGGGGGCGGAGAAAGUGUGUGUGCGCAGGAGAGGAGUCGAGCAGAGAGAGCUGCUUUUUUAUGAAACGGUUGUAAAGUAGUAAACUUACAGGAACAUAUGCCACUACCAACGUUUGGAUCGAUAUCUGCAUCUAUCUGCACACCCUUGUCUCCUGGAUCCUAGCUGAGAUCAGCGUGAACCACGUGGGUCUCUGCUCUCUGAUCUGUUUCCUGUGUUUGGAAAGAGUUCCAGCUUCAUCACGGAGUUUCUCUCGGUUUGUGGGCUCGUGUAAAGCUGAAUAACAGGAGUAGUCUGCUGGAGCAGCAGAGGAACAAUUUUGGACUCAGCUCAGCCACUACAGAGGAAAGAAUGUCUUCAACACAAAAGGACCAACAUGGAGCGAGAAGUCAGCGCUCUCAGGAGGCCGACAAACCUCACAGAAGAAAGGGAGAGAAAACCUACAGCUGUGAUGAGUGUGGAAAGUCUUUUACCCACUCUGGACACUUAAAAAUACACCAACUCAUCCACAGUGGAGUUAAACCGUAUAGCUGUGACUUGUGUGGAAAGUCUUUUACCGAGGCUGGAUCCUUAAAAAAACACCAAGUCAUCCACAGUGGAGUUAAACCUUAUAGCUGUGAGUUGUGUGGAAAGUCUUUUACUCAGUCUGGAGGCUUAAAAACACACCAACUCAUCCACAGUGGAGUUAAAGCUCACAGCUGUGACUUGUGUGGAAAGUCUUUUACCCAGGCUGGAGAAUUAAAAACACACAGACUCGUCCACACUGGAUUUAAAGCGUACAACUGUCACUUGUGUGGAAAGUCUUUUACCCACGCUCAAAGCUUUAAAACACACCAACUCAUCCACAGUGGAGUUAAACCUUACAGCUGCAACUUGUGUGGAAAGUCUUUUACCCAUCGUAAAUGCUUAAAAUUACACCAUAUCAUGCACAGUGGAGUUAAAGCACACAGCUGUGAUUUGUGUGGCAAGACGUUUGCUCAAAAUAGCAGCUUACAGAAGCAUCUAGUUACCCACUCUGGAAUUAAGGCGUACAGCUGCGACUUUUGUGGAAAAAGGUUCAGAGACAAACAGUACCGAAAUAGUCACCUACGGAUUCACACUGGAAAUGAUCUUUACUGCUGUGAUCAGUGUGGGAAACCGUUUACAACAGAUGCACAGCUACAACAACACAUGUUUAGCCACACUGAGGAGAGACCUUACAAAUGUGACCUGUGUGAGAAGACUUUUAAAGCUCCAAAUCAGCUGAAAAAGCACCAACAGAUCCACACCAGAAAGUAACUCUACAAGUGCAGUUACUGUGAGGAUGUAUUGAUUUUUUAUCUUGUAAUUUUAACCUGAUUGUUUG